rnacentral:rRNA from 1 species
UGGGGAAUAUUGCACAAUGGGGGAAACCCUGAUGCAGCGACGCCGCGUGAACGAAGAAGGUAUUCGUAUCGUAAAGUUCUGUCCUAUGGGAAGAUAAUGACAGUACCAUAGAAGAAAGCUCCGGCUAAAUACGUGCCAGCAGCCGCGGUAAUACGUAUGGAGCGAGCGUUGUCCGGAAUUAUUGGGCGUAAAGGGUACGCAGGCGGUUUAAUAAGUCGAAUGUUAAAGAUCGGGGCUCAACCCCGCAAAGCAUUGGAAACUGAUAGACUUGAGUAGUGGAGAGGAAAGUGGAAUUCCUAGUGUAGUGGUGAAAUACGUAGAUAUUAGGAGGAAUACCAGUAGCGAAGGCGACUUUCUGGACACAAACUGACGCUGAGGUACGAAAGCGUGGGGAGCAAACAGG